AUUGAACGCUGGCGGAAUGCUUUACACAUGCAAGUCGAACGGCAGCACGGGGCAACCUGGUGGCGAGUGGCGAACGGGUGAGUAAUAUAUCGGAACGUGCCCAAUCGUGGGGGGAUAACGUAGCGAAAGUUACGCUAAUACCGCAUACGAUCUACGGAUGAAAGCGGGGGAUCGCAAGACCUCGCGCGAAUGGAGCGGCCGAUAUCAGAUUAGGUAGUUGGUGGGGUAAAGGCUCACCAAGCCAACGAUCUGUAGCUGGUCUGAGAGGACGACCAGCCACACUGGAACUGAGACACGGUCCAGACUCCUACGGGAGGCAGCAGUGGGGAAUUUUGGACAAUGGGCGCAAGCCUGAUCCAGCCAUUCCGCGUGCAGGAUGAAGGCCUCGGUUGUAAACUGCUUUGUACGGUAACGAAACGGUACUGCCCUAAUACGGCAGGCUAAUAGACGGUACCGUAACGAAUAAGACACCGGCUAACUACGUGCCAGCAGCCGCGGUAA
rnacentral:rRNA from 1 species